rnacentral:rRNA from 1 species
GACGAACCGUGCGAACGUUGUUCGGAUUCACUGGGCUUAAAGGGCGCGUAGGCGGCUUGCCAAGUCAGGGGUGAAAUCUUUCGGCUCAACCGGAAAAGUGCUUCUGAUACUGGCGGGCUGGAGGAGGGUAGGGGCAGAUGGAACUUCCGGUGGAGCGGUGAAAUGCGUAGAUAUUGCUCGGAAGGCCAGAGCCGAAGGGGCCCUACUGGUGCGCAACUGACACUGAGGCACGAAAGCGUGGGGAGCAAACAGG